UUUACGCUGAAUACACCUACUGUGCUGUCUGAUCUUAUUCUGAUUGGUCAGUAAGUCUCAUGACCUGCAGGAGCUACAGAAGGCCCAUGAUGCAUUGCAGCAGGAGCUAAGUGAGCAAAACAGCACCCACCAGAAGACAGUGUUGGUACUGCAGUGCGAAAACACAGCCAGCGUAGACAAGCUCAGGGAGAUGGCUGAGCAGGUCGAGUGGUUGUGUGAACAACAACGCAACUGGAUAUGCUGCAUCAAAAGGUGAGUGUGUGCAUGUGUGUGUGUCUGUGUGUCUGUGUGUUGCUGUUACCAGUAGGUAAUGGAAAUACAAGUCCAGUGGCAUUUUGUUUUUUCUUGGAUAUUGUGUGUGUGUGUGUGUGUGUGUGUGUGUGCGUCUAGGUUUAAAGACUGCCUGAAUGAUGAGAAGGAGGCCCUGGUUCUGCAGGUGAACAGGUUGCAGGAAGAAUUGUUUGAUCUUAGAAAGAACUCAAAAUCUGAGACGAUUGGUGGAGAAGAUACACAACCCAAAAUUGUGCAUUGCAGCAGAUGGGACGUAGAUGCCAUGUUGGAUCUGCAGGUAGAGGCAGACAAGUGGAAAGAAAGAUACAAGGAACUCUUUAGCAAAUUCUCAUCACACCAGGUGGAUUGUCAUGAGGAUGGAUACCUAAAACCACCAUGAAGUCUGGAGACUGGCGUCAUGCACUAGUUGGUAAAUUGUUGCCAUAUGGCAACAGUGUGCAAUGGUGGAAAAUAUCAUUUAGUCUAAAAAAACACAAAAUAUAUGAGAUUACAAUUCUAAAUAUAAGUUGUAGAGUUUUCUUUUGCCACCUAGUAAGCAUGUAAAAGCUAUAUCUUCUAGAAAAGAAUUACAGUUAUAAAAAAAAAAAAAGUAUGUGGACGGAUUUACUCACUCAAAAUACAUACAAAAAUUAGAUCCAAACAUGUUUUGUGUGAAGUAUCUUUUUAAUUCUUUCUCUUUAAUUCUUCAUUCAUUUUCUUGAAACAUUACAUUUAGAACAUAAGGUGCAGUUGCAACAGUUUUUCUUACUUGUGAAUGUGAAAACAUUUAAAUAUAUUAUUAGAAAAGCCGUUUUUUUUUUUUUUUUUUUUAAAGCUCUGUAAGCCUGUUUCAAUUCAUGAAUGCACAUACCAGAGUUCCAUUAUCGUAUGUUGUUGCCAUUUAACAGAAUACUCAGAAUAUAUAAACUUGUUUAAAUGACAAAACAUAAAUGUUAACUUAUCUCAGAUAGUGUUUCAAAAUUUUCCUUUAAGUAGUUUUGCCUAAAUAUUGAAAAAUUCAUACAAUUUUGAGAGACCUCCAAUGGUGACCUUCACUGUUGGAUAAAAAGUAUCUUAGGUUAUGUCUUUCAGUCCUCCGUCAGCCUUCAGCCUUUUUUACUUUUAACUGUUAGUUCUGUGCUACGAGCGAGAAAGUGUGGUUGACCGCAGAGCGUUCAGGCCUGGAGAGUCUGAAAGAACACACACUGACACAUGCUGUUCACAGAGACAUCCGAGUUUAUGUGUGCAGAACAGGAGUAUUUAUACACAUAGAUAAACAGCAGUGCGUGGGCGGUUUCUACUUGUGCACGGGGAAGACAGUUACGCCAAGCACACAGGCAUACCACAAAAAUAAUCAUACCCAAGGUAUGAAAAAUACAUGUGUCAGCUAUAAUAAAGGAUGGCAGUUGAUCAGCUAAUCAGAAAAGGUAAUUAAGUGAAUACUUCCAUUAUAGGUAUAGGCUGGGAGUUCCCUAAAUAACAUGUUUACCAGAAGCAUUGAUCCUUAUCCCAGCAUUACAACAUGGAAAUCCCUUAAUACCCAAACAGAAACUAUAACCCAGUAUUUUCCAUAUUCAAGGUGUCUUAAUAGCAGUUCAUAAUAUAAGAGAGUACAUAUAAGAGAACCUCCUUCAUUCACCAUGCCAUGUGAUGGCAGAAAAGGAGAUGCAAACACCAUGGCAUCUGACAUGGCAUUUUUUUGUAAUGUCAAAGUUAAAG